AACGAACGCUGGCGGCAGGCCUAACACAUGCAAGUCGAGCGGGACCUUCGGGUCUAGCGGCGGACGGGUUAGUAACGCGUGGGAACGUGCCCAAAGGUACGGAAUAGCCUCGGGAAACUGAGAGUAAUACCGUAUGUGCCCCUCGGGGGAAAGAUUUAUCGCCUUUGGAUCGGCCCGCGUUGGAUUAGGUAGUUGGUGGGGUAAUGGCCUACCAAGCCGACGAUCCAUAGCUGGUUUGAGAGGAUGAUCAGCAACACUGGGACUGAGACACGGCCCAGACUCCUACGGGAGGCAGCAGUGGGGAAUCUUAGACAAUGGGGGAAACCCUGAUCUAGCCAUGCCGCGUGAGCGAUGAAGGCCUUAGGGUUGUAAAGCUCUUUCAGAUGGGAAGAUAAUGACGGUACCAUCAGAAGAAGCCCCCGGNUAACUCCGUGCCAGCAGCCGCGGUAAAGUCUGUACU
rnacentral:rRNA from 1 species